GAAAGGCAAUGAGCACUACCUAUUCAAGCAUCGGAUACCACUUGAAAAAGUGUCUGCGAUAACUAUUAGUGGUCAUGUGAUUCUGAACCUUUUUGCCUUUGUACAAAAGUGGAGCACAUCUAUAUUUGCUACGCAAGUGAAGAGGGGCUUCUUGAGCUGGACGCCUUCCACCAUACAUUCGCAGCUCUCACUACCUAUCCAAACUCCUGCCCUUCCUUAUGUGGGUCCGAUUUCCGGGGGACUGAAAGCAGGAUUGGCUUUGUACCUGCAGGGAGUUGUUGGUAGUAAAGGUCCCG